CAAAUUUGAAAUCUGGCACCUUCGGUGUCCGAGUUGUAAUUUGAAGAAGGUAACUUUGGAGUUGGGUCUUGUCUAUGUUCCUUGGAACAGGACGUCACAGAGGGUGAGAAUCCCGUGCGAUGAGAUGUCCAACUCUAUGUAAAGUGCUUUCGAAGAGUCGAGUUGUUUGGGAAUGCAGCUCUAAGUGGGUGGUAAAUUCCAUCUAAAGCUAAAUAUUGGCGAGAGACCGAUAGCGAACAAGUACAGUGAUGGAAAGAUGAAAAGAACUUUGAAAAGAGAGUGAAAAAGUACGUGAAAUUGUUGAAAGGGAAGGGUUUGAGAUCAGACUUGGUAUUUUGUAUGUCUUGCUUUCGGGUGGGGCCUCUGCAGUUUACUGGGCCAGCAUCGGUUUGGACGGUAGGAUAAUGACAUUGGAAUGUGGCACUACUUCGGUGGUGUGUUAUAGACUUUGUUGAUACUGCCUGUCUAGACCGAGGACUGCGUCUUUGACUAGGAUGCUGGCAUAAUGAUCCUAAACCGCC
rnacentral:rRNA from 1 species